AACGUAGGACGCAAGCGUUAUCCGGAAUUACUGGGCGUAAAGCGCGUGUAGGUGGUUGCAUAAGUCACUGUUGAAAGCUCCUGGCUAAACUGGGAGAGGUGCGGUGAGACUGUGCGGCUAGAGUAUGGGAGAGGGAUGCAGAAUUCCGGGUGUAGUGGUGAAAUGCGUAGAGAUCCGGAGGAAUACCAGAGGCGAAGGCGGCAUCCUGGCCUAAAACUGACACUGAGACGCGAAAGCAUGGGGAGCGAACGGG
rnacentral:rRNA from 1 species